AGUGAACGCUGGCGGUAGGCCUAACACAUGCAAGUCGAACGGCAGCACAGUAAGAGCUUGCUCUUACGGGUGGCGAGUGGCGGACGGGUGAGGAAUACAUCGGAAUCUACUUUUUCGUGGGGGAUAACGUAGGGAAACUUACGCUAAUACCGCAUACGACCUACGGGUGAAAGCAGGGGAUCUUCGGACCUUGCGCGAUUGAAUGAGCCGAUGUCGGAUUAGCUAGUUGGCGGGGUAAUGGCCCACCAAGGCGACGAUCCGUAGCUGGUCUGAGAGGAUGAUCAGCCACACUGGAACUGAGACACGGUCCAGACUCCUACGGGAGGCAGCAGGGGGGAAUAUUGGACAAUGGGCGCAAGCCUGAUCCAGCCAUACCGCGUGGGUGAAGAAGGCCUUCGGGUUGUAAAGCCCUUUUGUUGGGAAAGAAAAGCAGCAGGUUAAUACCCCGCUGUUCGGACGGUACCCAAAGAAUAAGCACCGGCUAACUUCGU
rnacentral:rRNA from 1 species